CCCUUAGAUGUUCUGGGCCGCACGCGCGCUACACUGUUCGACGCAGCGAGUCUUAACCUUGACCGAAAGGUUUGGGUAAUCUUCAGCAAAGUCGAACGUGAUGGGGAUCGAUCAUUGCAAUUAUUGAUCGUGAACGAGGAAUUCCUAGUAAGUGCAAGUCAUCAGCUUGCGCUGAUUACGUCCCUGCCCUUUGUACACACCGCCCUUCGCUACUACCGAUUGAAUGGUUUAGUGAGAUCUCUGGAUUGACGCUGGCUAGGGGGCGACCCUUGGCCAGGCUGUCGAGAAACUGCUCAAACUUGAUCAUUUAGAGGAAGUAAAAGUCGUAACA
rnacentral:rRNA from 1 species